ACGGAAUCCACCACCCCUCUCUUCAAGAGCACCAGACUUGGGGCAAUCUCUAGCCAGAUGACCGGAUAUAUUACAUAAAUUGCACACAGGAUCAUUUUGACAAUCACGUGCCAAGUGACCAGUCUUCCUACAAUUUUUGCACGCCUUGUCAUUGGUGCAGUCAACUGCAAUGUGGCCUUGCUUGAAGCAGUUAUUGCAAAGCUUCAGGUCACCAGGAGGGAGUGGAGGAGCCGUGCAGUCUCUAGCACGAUGUCCUGCCUUACCACAGGUGUGGCAAAUUCCUUCAUUUGGACAGUUGCCAGCCAUAUGGCCUGGUUCUCGGCAAUUCCAACAAAGAGAUUUCGUGGUACACUCCGAGGCAAUAUGCCCUGGGAGACCACAAUUGUGACAUAUGGCAACAUUAGGGCAUUCCCGAGCAAAAUGGCCAGGCCGUUUGCAGUUCUUGCAGAGACUGCUCUGACUCUGACUGCUGAAACCCCGACGUGGCUCCCGUCUAUAUGGUGCAUCACGGUAGGAGAACCGCUGUGUGCGGAUUUUGCGAUCCAUUGGACUCCUGCUUCUGCUUCUGCUCCUGCUUCGGCUUCUGCUGCCAGAUUUCAUAUUCAAACAACCACAAAUAAACCACCAACAACGACCAGCUAAAAUAUCACCACACCACAACCCAGCUGCUGCCUCCUCCCUGAAACAGCGUUCUGGAUCUGCACAGUUAGGGUUAGAUUUUGGGAUACUGCAACACACAGAAAACAGAGAGAGAGAAAUAGAGAAGCAAUAGAUAAG
rnacentral:misc_RNA from 1 species